UACGUAGGGACCGAGCGUUGUCCGGAAUCAUUGGGCGUAAAGAGCGUGUAGGCGGCUAUUUAAGUCCUGCGUGAAAUCCUGCGGCCCAACCGCAGACGGUCGUGGGAAACUGGAUGGCUAGAGUGCGGGAGAGGAGAGUGGAAUUCCUGGUGUAGCGGUGAAAUGCGCAGAUAUCGGGAGGAACACCAGUGGCGAAGGCGGCUAUCUGGGCUGCAACUGACGCUGAGGCGCGAAGGCUAGGGUAGCAAACGGG
rnacentral:rRNA from 1 species